GAAAGAUAUUAUCAGCAGCUCUGUUCCAGCCAGCACUAACGACACUGACUCUGCGUACUCUGGGGAAGAUCUCCUGAAGACUUGAGUCCUCUCUGCACUUCUG